rnacentral:sRNA from 1 species
GCCUGACUCCCCCAUGUAUGUGUAUGAGUCCACAGUCCACUGCACCAACAUCCUCCUGGGCCUCAAUGACCAGCGGAAAAAGGAUAUUCUCUGUGACGUGACUUUGAUCGUGGAGAGGAAGGAGUUCCGGGCCCACCGGGCUGUGCUGGCCGCAUGCAGUGAAUACUUUUGGCAGGCGCUGGUUGGACAGACAAAAAAUGAUUUGGUGGUCAGCUUGCCUGAGGAGAUGGUGUAAGGAUCACUAGAUUUCCCUUGAGAGUAAAAGAUCGAAAGCAUUCACAGCACCUUCUUUGCUUGGGGGAAAAAUAAAAGCAACUAGUAAUUUUCACCAUUAAUUCAGUAAGAUUCUAAGAAGUGUAAACUUGCUUUUCUCACCAUUGUUGAAAACAGCCCAC